GGAACUUUGGACAAUGGGCGAAAGCCUGAUCCAGCCAUUCCGCGUGCAGGAUGAAGGCCCUCGGGUUGUAAACUGCUUUUGUACAGAACGAAAAGGUUUCUAUUAAUACUAGGAGCUCAUGACGGUACUGUAAGAAUAAGCACCGGCUAACUACGUGCCAGCAGCCGCGGUAAUACGUAGGGUGCAAGCGUUAAUCGGAAUUACUGGGCGUAAAGCGUGCGCAGGCGGUUAUAUAAGUCAGAUGUGAAAUCCCCGGGCUCAACCUGGGAACUGCAUUUGAGACUGUAUAGCUAGAGUACGGUAGAGGGGGAUGGAAUUCCGCGUGUAGCAGUGAAAUGCGUAGAUAUGCGGAGGAACACCGAUGGCGAAGGCAAUCCCCUGGACCUGUACUGACGCUCAUGCACGAAAGCGUGGGGAGCAAACAGGAUUAGAUACCCUGGUAGUCCACGCCCUAAACGAUGUCAACUGGUUGUUGGGUCUUAACUGACUCAGUAACGAAGCUAACGCGUGAAGUUGACCGCCUGGGGAGUACGGCCGCAAGGUUGAAACUCAAAUGAAUUGACGG
rnacentral:rRNA from 1 species